AGCAGCCGCGGUAAUUCCAGCUCCAAUAGCGUAUAUUAAAGUUGUUGCAGUUAAAAAGCUCGUAGUUGAAUUUCGGGGUCAGUAGGCUGGUCGUGCCACAGGUACGCACUGGUCUCACUGAUUCCUCCUUCCUGAUGAACCGUAAUGCCAUUAAUUUGGUGUUGCGGGGAGACUGGACUGUUACUUUGAAAAAAUUAGAGUGUUUAAAGCAGGCUAACGCUUGAAUACAUUAGCAUGGAAUAAUGAAAUAGGACGUUCGGUCUUAUUUUGUUGGUUUCUAAGAUUGACGUAAUGAUUAAUAGGGAUAGUUGGGGGCAUUAGUAUUCAAUUGUCAGAGGUGAAAUUCUUGGAUUUAUUGAAGACUAACUACUGCGAAAGCAUUUGCCAAGGAUGUUUUCAUUAAUCAAGAACGAAAGUUAGGGGAUCGAAGACGAUCAGAUACCGUCGUAGUCUUAACCAUAAACUAUGCCGACUAGGGAUCGGAUGAUGUUAAUU
rnacentral:sRNA from 1 species